GAGAUGGCUGAGGGAAGUGAGGAGGGAGCUUCGCCCCACUGGACUCAACUUCUCCACUUGGACACCGUGUAUAUCCGCUUCUGAAACACCUGCUAAUUCAUCUUGUUACUGAGACUGCCUGUUCACCUGACUGCCUCGCCUUCUCAACUGUGACUUCCCAGAGGGCAGGAAAUGGGCCUCAGUCACCUCUCCAGCAUCAGCACCAGGCACCGCGUCUGGACAGGAUAGAAAGUGAUUGUGGUCCAGAGACAUGGUGUGGGGAGAGGGUCCAAGAGGAUGUGCAACCUGCAAGGACCGGAAGUUUGACAUUUUAGGUCUCUGUCUUUGAAGUUGAGGUGUCACCUGGGCAUCCCGUAGCCACACCCAGAUUUUUUCUGGUGGGUGGAAGAGGUCAGACACACCAGCUAGCCUCUGUGGGCUUCACCUUUCUGUUGGACUUGACAGAGGCAGGAAAACAGGAGGUGCACACACAGAUGUGUGGGGCUAUCCUGCCGUCUACAAUAUCCUUUUCGGCUCUUGUUCCUGGAAGAUUGGGAUGGCAUAUGUCCCUCCAGAGACCAACUGAGUGUACCUAGAAGUACCUACCCUUCACCAGAGAGGCACUCAAAGGCUACCCUCUCUUCUCUCUAAGGCCUACCAUGAUUCUUACCCCCAAUGAAAUCCAUGGAGACUUUAUGGCCAUAAUAAAAUAUAUGAAAUCCCAUGUUCGUUUGAUCCCAACAUUUCCCCUAGAUCCCCAGAAUGUCCCCCGUCUUCUCAGCUGUCAUCGGUCUUACCAGGGAGGGAGUGAUGCAGGGUCCUGUCCGGCAGCGGGUGUGUGGUGAGGAACCAGCACCUGCUCUGUCUAUAGGUUAGAAUGCCUGACUGUCCCUUACCAGGACUGGCUGCUUUAUGUCUCUGUGGAGGCGGGGAUGUAGGCUUUGACAGACCCUGCCUGCCUCAAAGACCCACCCCUUUUUGUUCCACUUCCAGGAGAACAGUAUCAACUUCAACUUGUUUGAAGUGCCCCGCCUCAGGCUCUGGGCCCUGGCCUCCUAAGGGAUGAGGGGGCACGUAGAAAGAUGCCAGGCAGGUGUCUGUGUAGCUGGGGCAGAGACAGAAAGAAGUGGGGACUGAAAGGUUGCUUGUGGCCAGGCAAUGGUGGCACAUGCCUUUAAUCCCAGCACUUGGGAGGCAGAAGCAGGCAGAUUUCUGAGUUUGAGGCCAGCCUGGUCUACAGAGUGAGUUUCAGGACAUCCAGGGCUACACAGAGAAACCCUGUCUUGAAAAACCAAAGGAAAAAAAAAGAAAGAAAGCAAGAAAUCUGGUAGAGAGCCUCAUUGAGAUGCCGUGCUGCCUGGCGGGAACCUGACAUUGGCCAAGGACAAGGGCUUCAAUCAGGAAUCUGACAUUAGGACAUAAUAGGGAAGUAGGUUAUGGCAAUAAUUUUAAUCUUAGGUUGAAAUAAAAGAAGCAGGCUUCAGGCAAGAUUUUGGCCUUUGACAAGGAAGUAGGCUCAGGUAUUUUGUUCAUUCUUACACACCCUUAGGAAAAACGGUCACUGGAGUGAUUGUGGGACUUUGCUUAUUGCCUUGACAAUUUUGCUGUCUUACUUGUUCCUCAUUGUACUACUAUUGAUCUUAAUUCCUGCAUGUAAUUAAAUUGAUAUAAAAGUGGAUUGGAAAUUAUUAAACCCGCUUUCAGUCUCAGAAUUGACUGGGGUCAUGCUGCA